UCAGGUGCCUAUAUCGGCGGUGUCCACCUCUUCCCAUUCCGAACAGAGAAGUUAAGCCCGCCAGAGCCGAUGGUACUGCAGUAAAAUGUGGGAGAGUAGGUCGGUGCCAAAU
rfam:Mucilaginibacter sp. OK098 genome assembly, contig: Ga0066759_114